rnacentral:rRNA from 2 species
CACUAUCGUUAACUGAAUACAUAGGUUAACGAGGCGAACCGGGGGAACUGAAACAUCUAAGUACCCCGAGGAAAAGAAAUCAACCGAGAUUCCCCCAGUAGCGGCGAGCGAACGGGGAGCAGCCCAGAGUCUGAAUCAGCUUGUGUGUUAGUGGAACGGUCUGGAAAGUCCGACGGUACAGGGUGAUAGUCCCGUACACCAAAAUGCACAGGCUGUGAACUCGAAGAGUAGGGCGGGACACGUGGUAUCCUGUCUGAAUAUGGGGGGACCAUCCUCCAAGGCUAAAUACUCCUGACUGACCGAUAGUGAACCAGUACCGUGAGGGAAAGGCGAAAAGAACCCCGGCGAGGGGAGUGAAAAAGAACCUGAAACCGUGUACGUACAAGCAGUGGGAGCACCUUNGGUGUGACUGCGUACCUUUUGUAUAAUGGGUCAGCGACUUAUAUUCUGUAGCAAGGUUAACCGUAUAGGGGAGCCGCAGGGAAACCGAGUCUUAACUGGGCGUUAAGUUGCAGGGUAUAGACCCGAAACCCGGUGAUCUAGCCAUGGGCAGGUUGAAGGUUGGGUAACACUAACUGGAGGACCGAACCGACUAAUGUUGAAAAAUUAGCGGAUGACUUGUGGCUGGGGGUGAAAGGCCAAUCAAACCGGGAGAUAGCUGGUUCUCCCCGAAAGCUAUUUAGGUAGCGCCUCGUGAACUCAUCUUCGGGGGUAGAGCACUGUUUCGGCUAGGGGGUCAUCCCGACUUACCAACCCGAUGCAAACUACGAAUACCGAAGAAUGUUAUCACGGGAGACACACGGCGGGUGCUAACGUCCGUCGUGAAGAGGGAAACAACCCAGACCGCCAGCUAAGGUCCCAAAGUCAUGGUUAAGUGGGAAACGAUGUGGGAAGGCACAGACAGCCAGGAUGUUGGCUUAGAAGCAGCCAUCAUUUAAAGAAAGCGUAAUAGCUCACUGGUCGAGUCGGCCUGCGCGGAAGAUGUAACGGGGCUAAACCAUGCACCGAAGCUGCGGCAGCGACACGAUGUGUUGUUGGGUAGGGGAGCGUUCUGUAAGCCUGCGAAGGUGACCUGUGAGGGUUGCUGGAGGUAUCAGAAGUGCGAAUGCUGACAUAAGUAACGAUAAAGCGGGUGAAAAGCCCGCUCGCCGGAAGACCAAGGGUUCCUGUCCAACGUUAAUCGGGGCAGGGUGAGUCGACCCCUAAGGCGAGGCCGAAAGGCGUAGUCGAUGGGAAACAGGUUAAUAUUCCUGUACUUGGUGUUACUGCGAAGGGGGGACGGAGAAGGCUAUGUUAGCCGGGCGACGGUUGUCCCGGUUUAAGCAUGUAGGCUGGUUAUCCAGGCAAAUCCGGAUAAUCAAGGCUGAGGUGUGAUGACGAGGCACUACGGUGCUGAAGUAACAAAUGCCCUGCUUCCAGGAAAAGCCUCUAAGCAUCAGGUAACAUCAAAUCGUACCCCAAACCGACACAGGUGGUCAGGUAGAGAAUACCAAGGCGCUUGAGAGAACUCGGGUGAAGGAACUAGGCAAAAUGGUGCCGUAACUUCGGGAGAAGGCACGCUGGUGUGUAGGUGAAGUCCCUGCGGAUGGAGCUGAGACCAGUCGAAGAUACCAGCUGGCUGCAACUGUUUAUUAAAAACACAGCACUGUGCAAACACGAAAGUGGACGUAUACGGUGUGACGCCUGCCCGGUGCCGGAAGGUUAAUUGAUGGGGUUAUCCGUAAGGAGAAGCUCUUGAUCGAAGCCCCGGUAAACGGCGGCCGUAACUAUAACGGUCCUAAGGUAGCGAAAUUCCUUGUCGGGUAAGUUCCGACCUGCACGAAUGGCGUAAUGAUGGCCAGGCUGUCUCCACCCGAGACUCAGUGAAAUUGAACUCGCUGUGAAGAUGCAGUGUACCCGCGGCAAGACGGAAAGACCCCGUGAACCUUUACUAUAGCUUGACACUGAACAUUGAGCCUUGAUGUGUAGGAUAGGUGGGAGGCUUUGAAGCGUGGACGCCAGUCUGCGUGGAGCCAACCUUGAAAUACCACCCUUUAAUGUUUGAUGUUCUAACGUUGGCCCCUUACCGGGGUUGCGGACAGUGUCUGGUGGGUAGUUUGACUGGGGCGGUCUCCUCCCAAAGCGUAACGGAGGAGCACGAAGGUUAGCUAAUCCUGGUCGGACAUCAGGAGGUUAGUGCAAUGGCAUAAGCUAGCUUGACUGCGAGCGUGACGGCGCGAGCAGGUGCGAAAGCAGGUCAUAGUGAUCCGGUGGUUCUGAAUGGAAGGGCCAUCGCUCAACGGAUAAAAGGUACUCCGGGGAUAACAGGCUGAUACCGCCCAAGAGUUCAUAUCGACGGCGGUGUUUGGCACCUCGAUGUCGGCUCAUCACAUCCUGGGGCUGAAGUAGGUCCCAAGGGUAUGGCUGUUCGCCAUUUAAAGUGGUACGCGAGCUGGGUUUAGAACGUCGUGAGACAGUUCGGUCCCUAUCUGCCGUGGGCGCUGGAGAAUUGAGGGGGGCUGCUCCUAGUACGAGAGGACCGGAGUGGACGCAUCACUGGUGUUCGGGUUGUCAUGCCAAUGGCACUGCCCGGUAGCUAAAUGCGGAAGAGAUAAGUGCUGAAAGCAUCUAAGCACGAAACUUGCCCCGAGAUGAGUUCUCCCUGAGACUUUAAGUCUCCUGAAGGAACGUUGAAGACGACGACGUUGAUAGGCCGGGUGUGUAAGCGCAGCGAUGCGUUGAGCUAACCGGUACUAAUGAACCGUGAGGCUUAACCUU